rnacentral:rRNA from 1 species
AUGGCGCCUUCCACCCUCUCCUUCCUCCCCGCGCACGCACAGCCCCUCUCCCCCCUUCACCCCCGCCGUCUCCACCGCCCAAGCGCCGCGCCGACCACUCCCAAACCCCUCACACUCGCCGUCCGGUGCGCCGCGAAGGCGCCGGCGAGGCCCAUCCCGCCGCCGAAGCUGGUCCGCUGCCCGGCGCUGGACCGGCAGGCGGCGCGCGCGAGCCGGCUCCGCUUCGCCCGCAAGCUCCUCACCCUGCUCCUCUCCAAGCCGCGCGGCUUCCUCCCGCUCCGCGUCCUCCUCCGCUGCCGCCGCUUCCUCGGCCUCCCGCGCCGCCGCCCGCUCGUCCCCUUCCUGCUCCGCUACCCGACCCUCUUCCGCCUCUUCCAGGCGCCCAUCUCCCGCCCCCUCUCGCCCUCCCUCUCCACCCUCGCCGUCGCGCUCACCCCCGCCGCCCACGCGCUCGCCGCCCACCUCGCCGCCCUGCGCGGGGCCGAGCUCGCGCCGGGCCUCGCGGAUAAGGUGCACCGCCUCCUCCUCAUGACUCCCCGGCGCAGCCUCCUGGUGUCGAAGCUCGCGCACAUCGCCCCCGACCUCGGCCUCGCCAUGGACUUCCGCGCCACGCUCUGCCCCCGCCACCCGGACAUCUUCACCUUCGCAAACACCUCCCACGGCCACGCGCUCCAGCUGGUCGACCCGCCGCCGCCGCCCCCUUCACCGCUCCCCCCGCCGCUCCGCCCCGCCGUGCAGCCCGACCGCCUCAUCGACCGGCCGCGGAGGUUCCCGCACCUCCCGCUCCGCCGCGGGCUCAACCUCCGCCGCGCGCACCGGGACUAUCUCCUGCGGUUCCACAGCCUGCCCGAGGUCUCCCCGUUCGAGCCGCUGGAGGAGGGCGCGAGCGCGGAGAUGGCGGAGCGGCGGGCGUGCGCGGUGGUGCGGGAGGUGCUGGCGAUGACGGUGGAGAAGCGGACGCUGGUGGACCACCUCACGCACUUCCGCAGGGACUUCGGGCUGCCCAACCGGCUGCGCGCGCUGCUGGUGCGCCACCCGGAGCUGUUCUACGUCAGCAUCAAGGGCGUGCGUCAUUCGGCGUUCCUGGUGGAGGCGUUCGACGACGAUGGAAGGCUUCUAGUGGAGGAUGGCAUGCUGGUUGGGAAGGACCGGCUGGAGGAGCUUGUCCGGGAGGGCAAGAAGAUCAGACGGGCUCGAAAGAAGGGUGUUUUUCCGGUUGAUGGCGACAGUGAUGAGGAUGAUGAGGAAGAAGAUAAUGUUGCAGAGGGUUUGUCAGAGGUGGAUGGUGAAUUUGGGGACCUGUUUGAAGAAGACAGUGUCGCUGGGGAAGGCUGGAAUGAGGUGGGUGAUGAAGGCGGAAUCGAGGGGGACGGCGACGAAGAAGAUGAUCCUGAAGUGGAUGCCAUGGAGGAGUUUUGGGUGAAGAAGGCUGCAGCAGAGGGGCUGGUUGACAGUGGCACCGAGCAUGAUGUUUGGUGA